UGUCUUCUCUAAUUUCAGCUACGGUCCAGUGACUUUAAGCUUCCACAUUCGUUGCUGGCCCGUUUCAAGUAAAGAAUUUAUGGGUUUUGUUUUCUUCCUCACAGAGAGGAUAAUUUUCAACAAUAAUAAUUGCUUUUUUCAAAUAUGAUUCAGCUUUUAUCUUUUUCUUUUCUAGUAUAAUCAGUGGAAUGAAAAAAUGAUUUUCAGUUUAAAAAUAUUGUCCCACAUCGACCCCAAUAGUUUUAACCCUAGCAUUUGGGGUUCUAUAAAUAGAACCUAUUUCUUCAUUCUCAGAGGAAUUUUAUGACCCCAAGUUCUGAACUUUUCAAAUUACUUGGCUUUAAACAAGAAAUUUCUCUUGCGAGUUGAGUCCUUGAAUUAUCAGAACGAGUAAUUUUUUUUUUUGAGUUCGAGUUAGUUGUCGUGUUGGUUCGAAGGUGAUAAACUCAACUUUCAUCGCCCCCGUCACUGCUCGACAAAAAGGUAGACAGGCAGAUGGCACAGACGCUUAGGAGCUGUAUUCAGCAGAUUUGCAGGAGCACUCCACUACUCCGGAGUUGUCGCUUAUUGCGAUGCCAAUGACGACGAAAGCAACAGCCGCCCAGAAGGGCAAGACUGCUACAGGAAAGCGGAUUGAACAGGAGCCACCGGUAAAUAUAGAAGAGGGUGAUUCCCAUAAUGAGACUCCAUCUCAUACUUCUCACUAGGGGUGUUCAUGGUUCGGUUUGGGUCGGUUAUUGGUUAAAAUCAUAACCAAACCAAUUUAGUCGGUUUUUAAAUGUCUAAAACCAUAACCAAACCAAGUAAAAUAAUAACCACCGGUUUGGUUCGGUUUGGUUCGGUUUUUCGGUUUAUGACUAGCCGUGACAAUUCAAAUAUUCUCUCUCUACAUUCUUCAAAUUUCUUAUGAAGCUUUUUUUUCCUCAUGGCCCACAAGGGUGAACUUUGCUGCAUAUUGAGAAAAAGACACGCUGUUGGCAAAUCAGGUGGACCAAACUUGCAACGCAGUUUAGAUUCAAAAGAACAAGUCAACAGAGGUUUCAAAAUACAAACAACCCUUAUGCUUACGACUUAUUAGAGUUGGGCUUCGAUUGUUGGACAUAUUCUUUUAAGACAUGGGCCUUAAAAAUAAGUAGA